rnacentral:rRNA from 1 species
UACGGGGGGGGGCAAGCGUUGUUCGGAAUUACUGGGCGUAAAGGGCUGGUAGGCGGCCAACUAAGUCGGAUGUGAAAUCCCCAGGCUUAACCUGGGAACUGCAUCCGAUACUGGUCGGCUUGAAUCCGGGAGAGGGAUGCAGAAUUCCAGGUGUAGCGGUGAAAUGCGUAGAUAUCUGGAGGAAUACCGGUGGCGAAGGCGGCAUCCUGGACCGGCAUUGACGCUGAACAGCGAAAGCUAGGGGAGCAAACCGGG